UUCCGCGCGAUAGCGCAGAUAGCGCAAGAGAUAAAAGAGCGAGCGCUCGGGAAAAGAGGAUAUUCGUGCGGCAGGCAGGCUGGCAGACGGUCACAGAAGCGAGGAGCGACGAAGCGGGCAGACGGCCAGCAGCUCUGAUAUGCCACGACCACCUGCAGCAAGAAGCCGUUCUCGACCCCAACAACGGCACCGACCUCAGCGAUUCCCUGGAAACUCUCCUGCUCGGAGGCCUUCCCCGUCACCCAGAUCCCCAAACAGAUCAAACAGACACCCCACCGAGCCUCCAGCGGUGUACACAGAACAAGAAAGAAGCGCCCUCUGCCCCUUCUGCGGUGUUCCACUGAUCCACCCUCCGACCCAUAAUGCGGGAGCCCUUUACCUGCAUCGUAUCCAACAAGCCACACAGCAGAGGGCAGCAGCUAACAACGUGGCCUCCGCUCCUACACGUCGGGACAUAGUCGCUGCAGUGAACCUACUUCGGCUGCUGGCCCCCCAAGUUCUCGCUCGGCCAUCCUUCUCACCGGACCCUGAGGAUAUAAUCCUCGACCUCCCCGAACUUCCGGACAUUUGCCUCAAGGGUGGGAGAGUGUGGGGGGCGCUGAUAACCCGGCAACUUCCGCGCGAUAGCGCAGAUAGCGCAAGAGAUAAAAGAGCGAGCGCUCGGGAAAAGAGGAUAUUCGUGCGGCAGGCAGGCUGGCAGACGGUCACAGAAGCGAGGAGCGACGAAGCGGGCAGACGGCCAGCAGCUCUGAUGUGAGGCAAUAAACUUUGUUUCUUUUGUUCAA